rnacentral:rRNA from 1 species
UGUGCCUUGAGGCGUGGCUUCCGGAGCUAACGCGUUAAAUCGACCGCCUGGGGAGUACGGCCGCAAGGUUAAAACUCAAAUGAAUUGACGGGGGCCCGCACAAGCGGUGGAGCAUGUGGUUUAAUUCGAUGCAACGCGAAGAACCUUACCUACUCUUGACAUCCAGAGAACUUUCCAGAGAUGGAUUGGUGCCUUCGGGAACUCUGAGACAGGUGCUGCAUGGCUGUCGUCAGCUCGUGUUGUGAAAUGUUGGGUUAAGUCCCGCAACGAGCGCAACCCUUAUCCUUUGUUGCCAGCGAUUCGGUCGGGAACUCAAAGGAGACUGCCGGUGAUAAACCGGAGGAAGGUGGGGAUGACGUCAAGUCAUCAUGGCCCUUACGAGUAGGGCUACACACGUGCUACAAUGGCGUAUACAAAGAGAAGCGAACUCGCGAGAGCAAGCGGACCUCAUAAAGUACGUCGUAGUCCGGAUUGGAGUCUGCAACUCGACUCCAUGAAGUCGGAAUCGCUAGUAAUCGUAGAUCAGAAUGCUACGGUGAAUACGUUCCCGGGCCUUGCACUCACCGCCCGUCAAA